rnacentral:rRNA from 1 species
AUUGAACGCUGGCGGCAGGCCUAACACAUGCAAGUCGAACGAGCGGCGGACGGGUGAGUAAUGUAUGGGGAACUGCCCGAUAGAGGGGGAUAACUACUGGAAACGGUGGCUAAUACCGCAUACCAUCGGAUGAGCCCAUAUGGGAUUAGCUAGUAGGUGGGGUAAAGGCUCACCUAGGCGACGAUCUCUAGCUGGUCUGAGAGGAUGAUCAGCCACACUGGAACUGAGACACGGCCCAGACUCCUACGGGAGGCAGCAGGGGGGAAUAUUGCACAAUGGGCGCAAGCCUGAUGCAGCCAUGCCGCGUGUAUGAAGAAGGCCUUAGGGUUGUAAAGUACUUUCAGCGGGGAGGCGUUACCCGCAGAAGAAGCACCGGCUAACUCCGUGCCAGCAGCCGCGGUAAUAC